AAACUUAAAGGAAUUGACGGGGCCGCACAAGCGGUGGAGCAUGUGGUUAAUUCGACGCAACGCGAAGAACCUUACCAGGGCUUGACAUCCCCUGACCGCGUAUGAAAGUACGUUUUCACCCUCGGGUGACAGGGAGACAGGUGGUGCAUGGUUGUCGUCAGCUCGUGUCGUGAGAUGUUGGGUUAAGUCCCGCAACGAGCGCAACCCCUACGUUUAGUUGCUAACGCGUGAAGGCGAGCACUCUAGACGAACUGCCGUUGACAAAACGGAGGAAGGUGGGGAUGACGUCAAAUCAUCAUGCCCCUUAUGUUCUGGGCUACACACGUGCUACAAUGGCCGGUACAGACGGACGCAAAGCCGCGAGGUGGAGCAAAUCCUAAAAAGCCGGUCUCAGUUCGGAUUGCAGGCUGCAAUUCGCCUGCAUGAAGUCGGAAUCGCUAGUAAUCGCAGGUCAGCAUACUGCGGUGAAUACGUUCCCGGGCCUU
rnacentral:rRNA from 1 species